GUCCGGGCGGAGGGUCUCCAGAGGGUGCUCCUCUGUGGUCCCUGAAGGGAUGUUGGUUUCAAGUCCACCUGCCGGCAACCUGAACCCUUUCCCUCCUAGGGAGAGCUGCUUGCGGCUCUUGGCUGCGUCUUACCUUCCAGCUCCAGAGACACCACACUAGCAUCAGUGCCUGGCCGGAUCCUCGCGUCGCUUCAAACAGGGUCAUCUUUCCCCUCAAUCGCCCCUUGUCUCAGCUUUCUGACUUCUCCCUUUUGCCACCAUACAUGCACCCCCGUGUGCAGCCCCUCACCCGUUCUCGCGGGGAUAAAGCCUCUCCACAAAGUCCGCCUGGACCUGCCUCCGCUCCUUUGCCACAGCCUGGCUCCACAGCCCCACUAUCCCGCCGGAUUGGUUCCCAGACAACCCAGCAAAUAGAAGAAUCUACAUCUUCUGGGAGUCCCCACCCUGUUUUCUCUGGUUCACAGGAUCUGUAACAUGUUUGUUCAAAACUGUGAUGAUCAGGACACAUCAUUCAAGGCAGAUAAGUAACAGGGGAGGAAGGAGAAGGAAAAGCCAACCCGUGAAGGAUUCCAGAUAAUGAAAACAAGGAGGAC
rnacentral:lncRNA from 1 species